rnacentral:lncRNA from 1 species
AUUAACAAAAGUGACCUUAUACAGAAAAUUCUCUUCUCCCCAACCAUAUUAUCCAGUAACCAUAGAUACGUUUGGAAAUUUAGAGGAAAUAAAAUGUUGUUUCCUCUAAAUUUUUAAAAUGUGUCCACCAUUUUGUACUUCAAGAGAACUGUCGUAACUGCUUUGUCAGCGUGGUUACUUCGGUAAGUACUGAAGAACAACUGGUGACAUCAUAACCGUGAUUUUUAAACAGGUUAUUCUGGUUAAUUUUGUAAAUGCUCCAGUAAUUACCAGCAACACUGGUUACAAUCUCCAAACAUGCCCGUGAUUCUGGUACUUGUUUUAUUGUGAAUCUGCUGUAUUUUGGCAUCUGCCAGUCGGGAAAAUUGGCGACACGAAAUAACUUCAGAAAAACAGGGAAGCUUCUAGUGUAUAGCACACCCAAACACUAGAGCAACCACCAAACUAAUGGUUAUCCAUUUUAUAGAGGUUUCGAGUCGACGUCCGAUUAUGUUUACUCGCGCUUUAGCCGAAGUUCUUGUGUUGUUUAUUCAUCGUGAAUAUCACUAUGGUGAAUUGUUGUAACACUAGUUCACCCAAGAACAAAGGAAUGUCAUUUUUUAAAAUUUCCGGUAUUAUUUGUCAUCGAGGACCCUAACUGAAGAGCUUUCGUAACGAAGGCUCUCGAGAAUUAACCAGAAAAAUUUCAAUAUGGAUAAAGUGAGAGUUUGUCAGAAACACUUUAUUUUAGGUAAGCAAUAAAUCAGGUUAUCUAAUUAUUUGUUAAUAACCAGUAAACUUUUGCAUGAGUAUCAUAGUAUGUACAAGCUGACUGCAUAAAUACUUUUGUUAAUACUGACAAAAUAAUAAUUUUAACUGCAGAUUUUAGUUUGAAUAGAUGAUGAUUGUUUCAUCUUUCAAUUUUUCUUAGUCUCUGCUUGUAAUUAAUAUUAAAUUCUACUGUAUAUUUAAGUGUUAAGCAAAGAUAAUCACUUAGCAAAUGAAGGAUUACAAAUGUAUUUUGAGCAAAUUGUCCUUCAUGUUUAAUUUACAUAAAUAAGUGCAUGUAUUUUUUAAGAUGAACAAUAGAAAUUAUCGAUUUAUAUUUACAAAUAGGUAAGUUGGGUUAUUUUGGUUAACAACAUUAACAUUGUAAAAAGUAGCAUCUUAAAGAAAUGUUUUUUUACAUUAGUAACAUCUAACCAUUACAUAGGAACCUUCAGUUGUUCCUGACAAAUUUUUAUUUAUAUAAUGUACUGUACAUAAACAUUAUAAACAUAACAUACAUAACUUUUUAUAUUAAUUAUUUAUCAUUAUGGUAAGUUCUUUUUAAUAAUUUUUAUUUUAUCCAAAGGAAAACUUCCUCAUUGUAUUUAUACAAUGAGUCAUCACCAGACUGGGUGCCAUUAUACAUGGGGUAUGAGUGACCACAACCCAACUGCAUAUCAGGAGUGUUAUGAAAAAGCAUGUAAUUGGGAGAAACAGCCACUUGUAAGAUAGCUUACAAAUCUGUAGCAGCCCAUAACUUUCGUUUGUGAGAGAGUGGCAAUUUGUUGUCAAAAUCAAAUAGUUUGUGUCCUAAAGCAGAAUUUGGGGACAACUCUCGAUCUGCAACGAAGAUGCUGGCUUUGUAUGGAUAGACACCUUGAUGUAAUGAAACUUUUUCUUCGUAUAAAGCAGCAUCUCAUCCUGUCAGACUGCAAAUAACAUGCCAGAAAAACAUCUUUUUGAACUUACAAUGUUAUUUCACAGGUAUACCUGUUUAUAGCAACAGUUGCCGCUUCUCUCGUCAGGGCCAUGAGAUCCGCUCCGACAAACCCGGGACAACGUUUGGCCAACCACUGAAAGUCGAAACCGGAUUCCAACUUCAACUGUCGGCACAACACCCUCAAUAUUCUGAAAAUAAGUUCUUGGCAUUCGAUUCUCAAAGCAUCGGAGAAUAUUCUUAAGACGUCGAAUAUUACCUGUUCCUCGAAUCUUCGUCGGGAAUUCCCAGACAGAUUUCUCGGUCGAACCGGCCAGCCCUGCGGAGAGCGGGAUCCAGAGCAUCCGGUCUGUUUGUCGCUCCAAUAACUAGCACUUGAGCGCUGCCGUGCUUCUGAUUUAAUUCUGAAAAUUAAUAAACCAAUAUGAAGUGAGAGAUUUACUGGAAUCUUAUCACAAUUAUAGAAACAGAUAA